CCCGGGACGCCGCGCGCGUGCCGCCGUUUCCGGCGAGACCUUGAACCCGGCCUGGGGGGUCGCACCCGCUUGUCCGUCUGCGCAGACGUUCGGGAGAGCGGCUCGGGGACCUGAGAAGUGUCGUCAUCGUAUUUUAGGUCAGUUUUGCCCUUUAGGAGUUACUUGGAGGCUUCUCUGCCGCCUGCUUUGCGUCCCCCGAUCCGGGCGGGGCGUGGGACCGCGUCGCCAGUGCUUUUGUCGCCGUUCGUUGUCCGCGUUCCGUGAAGUGGGUUUGAAUCCUGCGGGAACCCUGAGCUCCGGAGGCGGGUGCUUAGCUGCGGAGCGCGGUGCUGAUUUGUGUCCUGGAGGUUUUAUUGCUCCGUGUCUUGAAAAACAAGCUGCAGGUGCAGGCCUGGGGAAGUCUCCUGUCUGGACAGUGGGAAGAGAGCAACGCAGAAGGACACCGGCUCACUAGUGCCUUUACAUUGGUUUGGCUUUAGCUGUGAAGCACUGAUUGCUUCUGGUGGGAUCAUUGGCUAUGCAAAAGCAGAUUCAACUAAGAAGUCUUGAUUGGCCACCUACGAUGUGCAGGAACCAUGAUAAGAGCCAAGGAUAUAAAGUUGCAUAAGAACCUUUCCUUUCUCAGUACAGUGAAGACACCUGUAUUUUUUUUUUUUUUAAUGGUGGUUGUUAUUCUGAGUUCUGGAGAUACAAGAAUGAAAAGACCUGUUCCUACUCAACAACAAUGACAAAACCCAAUUAAAGAAUAGGGAAGUGACUUGAAAUAGACAUUCUCCAAGGAAGACAUACAAACUAACAAGCUGGUUAAAGGGCAGUAUCAUUAAGCAGCUAUCAGCACAGGGGCUACAAGAGGACAAUGGAGGGGCAAGUAAAUCAGACUUGGAGGUAGGGAAGAAAUUUCAGAAAAGAUUAUACUGCAGCCAAGGUUUUUUUUAAAUUUUGGUUCUGAGGUAAACAUGAAGAAGGAUGUUAGCCAUUCUACUGCAGAAACUAGGCAGUGAUACAAAAACAACUGUUUUUCGCUAAACUCUCCAGUCUAUAGACUUCUCCAACUGGGCAAAUCAAGACUCUGCUGACAGAGAGAUUUCUCCUAGAGAGCAUGCAGGGGUAUAGGUGCACGGCCAUCCAGUGGCAAGAUGGGGGGUGCCAAUCAAUUGUUUUUCAUGUGCUCCUUCUAAGCCACUACUGGAAGAUUUGGAGGCUUUUGAGGGGAAGGAAAUGACCCAAAGUUAAUCAAUGAUGGUGGCCAAAAGAGAUGGGCAGAAGUUUUGUUUAACGCCCCCCAAGGAGAGAUGCCACCUAUAUUGCAUAUGUGUUUUUCUAAGGAGCACUAACUAAUAUUUGUGCAAGUCUGUGUAAGUAUACUCUGUGAUGUUCGCACAAUGAUGAAAUCACCUAAUGAUGCAUUUGUCAGAAUAUGUCCCCAAGGUUAAGCAUCAUAUGACUAUACUUAAAAAUAGUAAAGAUGGUAAAUUUUGUGUUCCAUGGAUUUUACCACAGUUUUUUUAAAAAAAGACCUGUCCUCUAUCUUCGGACUGCUUAUAUUUCUGUGCUAGUAAGGUGACUUACCAAUCCUCCAUCCAAGGUCUUUCACCGCUCUUCUGUUUAGAUGCUUCAUCCCCACAUAGGUGAGAUGUCUUCUGUGUGGAAGAAGGUUUUCUGCCUCUUCCAUAAACAUGCUUCUUUAAUUUACAGAUCAGAGACCAGAGGCUUAGUGAAGGAGACUUGCUCAGUGUCAGAAAAUUACCACAGAGCCCAGGAAGGCCCCGAUGCUCACUUGAAAGCAUUGUUCUUUUUCAUCUGGAAGGGGCCUUUGAUUACACUGUCCUCAGCACUCAUAGAGCCAUCAGCUCAGACAAACGCACUGGCAGUCAGUGCCAGGCAAAAUAGCAUGAUCUUACUCCAGGACCAAACUCAUCAGGGCCUUCCUCCUAGCUCUUAUGUUCAGACAAAGCAGGUCUCCAGGAAGAAUGUCUCAUUCCCCAAAUCCUCUUACCGUCUCCUUGAGAUGGAGUUCAAGAGCUCUCUUGGCUGUGCAUCCCCACCCCAGCCUUUAUGCUGGUGGUAGCAGAGUCAGAAGAGAGCCACCACCUUCUCUUCUUGAGUCUUCACCUCUUCUUUGAGCAAGUUGCUCAGAAAUACUCAGAGCCACUGAGGCUCAGAGUUAGAAACAGAGAUGGGUCUUCCUCCUUCUUUGAAUAAUGAUAUCCAGAAGUGGUCCAUCUUAGAGGGCUUGAGUGCCACCAAGAUACAGGCAGGAAAGGGGGGAAAGAGAGAAAGACAGGGGGGAGGGAGAGAUAAAGAGAGAGCCAGCGUGAGCUUUGGAAAUGAGCUAGUAAUUUACAAACUCUGCAUCAUCUCCAUCUGCCUCUCUCUGGGAGUUUCCUAAAUGGAUAAAACAAUAAGAUGGUGAAACUGUUGAGCUGUUCCUUCCACAGCCUCGCUGGCCAGGCUGACUCCAAGUGUUUCAGACAGAUGUGCACCAGGGCCUCCCUGUCAGCAGGAGUCCUUAAUGCCUUGUGCCCUGACAUUUGGAAUGCAGCCAGAGUCGGGUUUAUUGGUACUUUGUAGGUCACUUUGAUUCUUGUAUUUUUAGAUUUACUAACAGAAAUAGCUCCUAUUGUUAUCCCUGCACUCUUUAUGGAUGGCACCAUAUCAUGGUGUGGAAGAAAGAAAAUAAUCUGGGAUCUGGUCAGAGUCCUGGGUUUGUGAUAUGAUGUGCUGGUUCUAAGGCCUCAUUAAGCACGUUAUUCCGCCCUUUGAAGACAUAAUGUGUGUAUUGUAAAGUAGAUAUAUUGGUAAUGAUUGCCUCAAAGGGUCGUUGUAGAAAUGAAAUGAAGCAAUCUAUAGACUGUACAUUGCUGUGCAGCUACUAUACAAGCCAGAGGUGAAAACGUGGUCAUCAUACCAAAUCCAGUCUGCUCUAUGCCUUGCUUAGCCUGUACACUUUAAAACCAUUUGUAUGCCUUUAGACCAGCUUGUAAUCUCCAGAUGCCACAGUCCCCACUUCUCUAUAUUGCCUCACACCCAGCCUACUGUCUACUACCAACCUCAUCUGGAAAGUUUGAGUCUGAGACCCAGACAUCGAACCUUAAAGGCAGGCAGCAUUCAGUAAUUCAGAAGAGGCAUCUUACCUGCAGCCAGCAGAUCCAGAAGUGGGACUGUGUGAGCACAAGAAGAAAGAGUCUUCAGUCUGAGGCAGCCUCAGACUCACUGGGCUAAUAACAGUGAUAUAAAAAGUUAAGAGUAGUAAGUUAUGAGUUUGCAAUGACAAAGAAAAUGCUCCUGUAGACUGGCUUGCCACUAUCUUUAUAAUGACAGUACACUAUAUAUGACACAUUGCUACAAUUAGAGGUUUGUUUGGUCUAUACAGUACUGGCACUAAAAUAUAUAAAUCAAUAAAACAUUAGUCCAUGCUAGAAAGCCCAGAAAUAGAACUUAGCAUACAUAGGAAUUUAGUAUCCAAUAAAGGUGGCAUUUCUAGCUGGUGGGGAGAUGAUGGAUUUAUUUCCUAAAUAACACUAGGGUAAUUUUUUUAACUGUUUGUAGAAAUACAGUGGCUUUACAUUGUACUCUUCACACUAUAAACCAACAUAAACUGCAAAUGGAUAAAAGUAUUAAAAUUUUAUAUUAAAAAAUAAAAGAUCCAGAAGAAAAUAUAA